rnacentral:lncRNA from 1 species
GCUUCGCCGUGUUCAUUAGCAGUGCUGGGUUAAUCCAUUGUGAAGUAUUUUUUAACAUAUUCCAUUUUUAACUUUACCAUUAGCGUUGAUAAACAAUCACACCGCGUGGUUAUGCGUAUAGGUGUGUAGGUUGAGAUGAUUCCACAGAGAGCCAUCUAUUAAAUGUCCAUAUUCCCCUCUUUAGGUAGCUCAUAGCACUGUACGGCUCAUUGUUUUGAUUCAUGGUCACUGCCUUCAUCAGCAUUGUUUUCAGAAGCAGCAAGAAGCAGAUUUUAACUAAAAAAAAGAACUAAAAACUGACUGUAUGGUAGCUUCUAGUGGAAUAUAAUCAUAACUUGAUAAUAUAAUAAUUUAAAUCAAAAAGAAGGAAAAGCAAAUUUUCCAAUGUCUACUGUUGUGUUCAAAUCAAAAAUUGAAAAACAGGAUUAGUGCUUAAAUAUCCAAACCAAUUUUCGUCUUGAAAAAACGUAAUCCCUCUGUAACCCUAAUUUUGAUGCAAUGUCUUAAUAUUGUGUGCCAGCUCAUUAACACGUAAACCUCAGUGAUCUGCCUGUCUGUGGUCAUUUUACAGCCUCGUUUGAAGAUCAAGCAAUAUUUUAAACCCAAAACAAACAACAAAAAAUUUGCCACCAUAACAGCAGAACACUAUUACAUGAUACUGGCACCCAUCUGCUUUGUUUCGACUAUGAUUUCUCUGGAAACAAACAUCUUCAAACAGCUGCUGAUAAUCAUCAUCCUGAGGUACAUAUUGUUUCUCCAAACUAACUUUACUGUGACUUCACAAGUUGUAAGGAAGGGGCAGUCUGGCUGAACUGGAGACCUGAAAAGUUGCCUGUUACUUCUUGAGUCGACUUUAAAGCUCCUAUGAGGAGUUUUUUUUUAUGUCUACACAACAGACUGAAAUAAAUAUAUCUGCCUUUUCAUGAUAUCUAAAAGCAAACAAAACCAUAAGAUGGAAGAUUUUUAUCACCUUUACAGCCUUUAUUUUUAACUACUUCCACAUAAAGUAUGAACAGUAAAUGAUUUGGUUAUUUUAAGUCAACAGGGUGAGGUUUUUAUACAUGCAAACAGAGGACAAGACAAAGAAAGACUGUUUUAUCCACAGGGAGCGCAAAACUGACAAAAACUGAAAGUUCCUUACAGAAGCUUUAACAAAGAGCCCACAUGAGCACUCACCGCCAGCCUUAGACAUUUUCUUAAAAGACGUAACGUUCAAGUAGUUUUGUGACUACAGAGCUUUGUGAAAGGAAACAUCCACGAACUAAGUCUAACUUCAUAUCUAAAGAAAAAGAGGUCAAAAUGUUUUAUAGAGCAACAGCUGGAUAGUGUUAAAGUUUGGUCUUCUACAGACACCAGUAUAUGAUUUUAAAAAGGACUUUUCAGAAGUUCGUAUCAUGUAAAGCCACUCUAUAGAUAUCUGACAUAAUGGAGGAUGAGUAUGACAAGUCUCUUUGAGAUUCUGUAACUGCGCCAUGUUGACAUCUUUUAAAAGCUUGGUCCUUGUUUUGCAUUUCAAUAUGGUUUUCUUUUUUGUACUUGAGUUUACAGAAACCCUUUUUUUUUAAAUAAAUCCACCAGAGACUCUAUUUAAUUUACAUACAAAUACCAUCUGAAGUCAAUUCAAGAGAAAUACUGGAAGGUAAUGGCAGGAAGAGGGUCUCUUUGUAAUUCUAUAUGCUUGGCCAAAAUAGUAUAUAUAUAUAUAUAUAUAUAUUAAAGUUAAAGCUGCACAUGGUGUAUGCACUGAUCUAAUUAGUGAGACACACUCACAAAGAGAAAGUGAAUGAAAGAAACAGCAUGUCUGCUCAGUUGGGGUGCCUGCUUCAGAGUAGACAGGCAUGUGUGCAUAUCAUAUGUCUUUUCAUGAGAAGUAGGGGAGACAUUUGCCAGGCUUGUGUUAUAAUCUAUAGGUUCUUAGAGGAAAGGGGGGAUCAGGCGAGGAUUGUAAACCAUAUUUCAAAGGGACUGAACAAGAUAAAAAAAAACCUCAACAUUCCUUUGCUCUCCUCUGUUCCCCAGCUGUGGGUAUCAAUCAUUCUCUAAUAUUCCCAGCAUGUCUUCAGGGUCUCUCCGCUAGGGCCCUAGAGCCCAGCUUAUGGCAUCCUUCAGAUCUUUCUCUCUUUCAUGUGAAUGCUCACUCUGAAUCCAACAUUUCCGACCAGCAUAAAGAUUUAGGUUGGGCUUCGACGUGUAGGGACGGGGGGGCUGGGGUUUUCUUUUGUGCUUGAUGAAUAUGCUCCGCAAAUUUGAGAGGUCAGUGGCCAAAAUAAUCAAAAUGGAGAGCAGCAAGAAAGUUUGGUUUUGAAAAAAGCAUCCGGGAUAAAGCAAAAGUUUAAACUUGCUUUGAUGCAGUUAGAAAGUGUAAGGCUAUAUGUUCUCUAUAUGCUAUAGGGAAUAGAGACAUAGAGACAUAAUAGUCCUUUUUUCUGAAGAACAAAGGAGUGUAAAAAAAAGUUCAAAAGCUCAAGUGGUCGACUAUCUGUCAUGUUGGUCUUUUAGGCUACAGUCUGGGAUUAAGGAGUUUAUGAAUUCCACAGUCUUUCAUUUUGAAAUGUGCUCAACAUGUACAAGCAUUUAUAGCUGAGUGUAAUAUUUUUUCCCUACACUCUUGUCGUCGUCUUUGUUUUCCUCCGGGUCACGGGUGCAGCAGCUUCAGGAGGGAAGCCCAGACGACCCUCACCCCAGCCACUUCCACCAGCUCCUCUGGGGGGGAUUCCCAAGCACUCCCAGGUCAGGCGAGAGAUAUAAUCCCUCCACCUGGUCCACGGGAUCUCCUCCCAGUCGGACAUGUCCAAAACACUUCUAAUAGGAGGCAUCCAGAAGGCAUCCUAACCAGAUGCCCGAGCCACCUCAGCUGACUCCUCUCAGUGUGGAGGAGCAGCGGUUCUACUCUGAGCGCUUUCCGAGUGUCCGAGCUCCUUACCCUAUCUCUAAGGCUGAGCCCUGCAAAGGAAACCCAUUGCGGCUGCUUGUAUGCGCGAUCUUGUUCUUUUGGUCAUUACCCAAAGUUCAUGACCAUAGUUGAGGGUCGGCAAGUAGAUCGACCGGUAAAUCGAGAGUCUCGCCUUACGGCUCAGCUUUUCCUUCAUCACGGAUCUGUUAAGCAUCCGCAUCACCCUUUUUUUUUCUACACUCCUGACUCACCAUAAUUUUAUUAUAAGGGUUUAUAUUUCUGCCUUCAAUCAUGUGUUUCUAAGACAGCUGUUGUUGGUUUGUUUGUUGUUUUUUGGUACAAUUUUGCUAAAAUGUCCAUUUCAAGUCUUUGAGUGAUCUUCAGCGUAACAAAUCAUGAAGACAAGUUCAUGGUCUUGAUUAAACAGUCGGUGAUGUCAGGUUGAUGUUUUAAUAUGAUGAUGGUGGUUUUAUUUCAGAUGUUACUCCUGAUAGUUUUUACUCAUUUUGCUGAAGCAGGAUCCCUAACCCCCCACUGUUUCUUAAACUCCUAAAGACUGAACAUACUCAAACAAAAUACAGGCGACCCAUGAGGAUAAAGAAAGACUGGGAGAUGGCUGUGAGGUUUUAAGCUGACAAUACUUACAAAAAGUGAAAUCUCAUACAGUAUUCCCAGUGCACCUCUGUGCAGAGAAAUCUAAUUUAUAAACUACUUAUUUGAUUGUGCCGCACUCAGUGGCAGUUUUUUCUUUCCACUAUGAAAAGUGAUGGGUUAUUUUCUUUUUCUUUUUUUUUCUAUAUAAAUUCCAGAAAGGAGGUUUGGUGUAUAUCAGGUUAUUUUAGAAGUGGCAACAACAGCACUCUGGCUAAGGUGAAGAUUACUGUUUAGAUGAAAUAAAACAUUUCCUUCCCCGUGGGCCUUAAGUUACUGUUGAAUUUUUUCCACAACUACCCAUGACCAUGUUUUAGUAGUUCAAGUGUUUAAACCAACAUUUCUGUGUUCAAGUGUAGCACAGAGUGUUUCAUCUACUUUCAUCUACUCAAAUAAAGUACCUUCAUGUAAAUAAAAGUGUUGAAAACCAAACAUUUUUAAAGCUAGACAAGAAAUAAGAGCAAAAAUAGAGGUUCCCUGCUUAUUAAUGAAGAAUUGGACAUCUCUGCUAGUACAUCUUUAGAAGACUGAUGGCUACAGACCAAAGUAAAUGUUUCCAUCAACUGUAGGCGUUAUAUUCUCUGAGCAUGUGCCAAAUUUUCUGAUCUUUUAACAAAGUGUGCCAAUACUUCAUUAAAGUGAUUUUACUGUAUGUGCUCACUAAAGUGCUGUCACGCUGACAUACAUUUAUUUGGAUUUUGCUUGAAAUGUUAAUGUCUGUGGUCAUCAUCCCAGGACAAAGGUGGGCUGAUAUUUUCUUAAUUUCUGUUUUUUUUUUGUUUUAUGUUUACGGGGUCAUCAUAAAGGGGAUUAUGAUAUCCAUCCAUCCAUUAUCUGUAUUGCUUUAUUGCUUUUCCCAUUCAGGGUCAUGGGGGGAGAACUGGAGACUAUCAUUACUAUCAUUGGGCAAGCCGGGGGGGGUUUACCCUGGACAGGUGGUCAGUCUAUCACAGGGCUGACAUACAGAGACAGACAACCAUUCCCACCUACACACAAUUUAGAGCGACCAAUCAUCCUGACAAACAUGUUUUUUGAAGCCAGAGAACCCACACACGCAAACGGUUUGAACCAGGAACCUUCUCACUGUGAGGCAACAGCAACACCAACUGCACCAGCGUACGGCCCAUUAUGACUAACAUUUAGACCAUUACCUCAGCUUGAGCACAGCAUUGAUGUUUGUGUAUGCAUUCCACAUGUUCCAAGACAGCAGGCUACGAGUUCAAUUACAUCUGCUUGGUUUGCAGUUUAAAAAGCACUGUUUACAGUUGCUGCUCGCUUAG